rnacentral:rRNA from 1 species
CAGCAGUGAGGAAUAUUGGUCAAUGGACGAGAGUCUGAACCAGCCAAGUAGCGUGCAGGAUGACGGCCCUAUGGGUUGUAAACUGCUUUUGCGCGGGGAUAACACCCUCCACGUGCUGGAGGUCUGCAGGUACCGCGCGAAUAAGGACCGGCUAAUUCCGUGCCAGCAGCCGCGGUAAUACGGAAGGUCCGGGCGUUAUCCGGAUUUAUUGGGUUUAAAGGGAGCGUAGGCCGUGAGGUAAGCGUGUUGUGAAAUGUAGGCGCCCAACGUCUGCACUGCAGCGCGAACUGCCCCACUUGAGUGCGCGCAACGCCGGCGGAACUCGUCGUGUAGCGGUGAAAUGCUUAGAUAUGACGAAGAACCCCGAUUGCGAAGGCAGCUGGCGGGAGCGUAACUGACGCUGAAGCUCGAAAGCGCGGGUAUCGAACAGGAUUAGAUACCCUGGUAGUCCGCGCGGUAAACGAUGGAUGCCCGCUGUGGCGCGCCUGGCGUGCCGCGGCUAAGCGAAAGCAUUAAGCAUCCCACCUGGGGAGUACGCCGGCAACGGUGAAACUCAAAGGAAUUGACGGGGGCCCGCACAAGCGGAGGAACAUGUGGUUUAAUUCGAUGAUACGCGAGGAACCUUACCCGGGCUUGAACUGCAGGAGAACGAUUCAGAGAUGAUGAGGUCCUUCGGGACUCCUGUGGAGGUGCUGCAUGGUUGUCGUCAGCUCGUGCCGUGAGGUGUCGGCUUAAGUGCCAUAACGAGCGCAACCCUUCUCGAUAGUUACCAUCAGGUUAUGCUGGGGACUCUGUCGAGACUGCCGUCGUAAGAUGUGAGGAAGGUGGGGAUGACGUCAAAUCAGCACGGCCCUUACGUCCGGGGCCACACACGUGUUACAAUGGCCGUCACAGAGGGGAGCCGGGCGACCGGCUCAUGAUCCUUAAAAACGGUCUCAGUUCGGACUGGGGUCUGCAACCCGACCCCACGAAGCUGGAUUCGCUAGUAAUCGCGCAUCAGCCAUGGCGCGGUGAAUACGUUCCCGGGCCUUGUACACACCGCCCGUCAAGCCAUGAAAGCCGGGGGCGCCUGAAGUCCGUGACCGCAAGGAUCGGCCUAGGGCGAAACUGGUGAUUGGGGCUAAGUCGUAACAAGGUAGCCGUACCGGAAGGUGCGGCUG